rnacentral:rRNA from 1 species
AACGAACGCUGGCGGCAUGCCUAACACAUGCAAGUCGAACGAGACCUUCGGGUCUAGUGGCGCACGGGUGCGUAACGCGUGGGAACCUGCCCUUAGGUUCGGAAUAACUCCCCGAAAGGGGUGCUAAUACCGGAUAAUGUCUUCGGACCAAAGAUUUAUCGCCUUUGGAUGGGCCCGCGUUGGUUUAGCUAGUUGGUAGGGUAAAAGCCUACCAAGGCGACGAUCCAUAGCUGGUCUGAGAGGAUGAUCAGCCACACUGGGACUGAGACACGGCCCAGACUCCUACGGGAGGCAGCAGUGGGGAAUAUUGGACAAUGGGCGAAAGCCUAGUCCAGCCAUGCCGCGGGAGUGAUGAAGGCCGUAGGGUUGUAAAGCUCUUUUACCCGGGAUGAUAAUGACAGUACCGGGAGAAUAAGCUCCGGCUAACUCCGUG